CAACAAUUGCAGCAUUAUUAUUGGUGGUCUGGCAGUGUUUUAAUGUCUAUACAAUCAAACAAAAAAAUUACAACUUUUCUAUUCUUCAUUUUGGCCUGAGAGCUUUGCGUUAUGUGGAGAGAUCAUUUCGUAAGGACGCUCUCCCUCUGUGAUUCAACAUCCUUCUCCAUUGUAUCGAUCAUUGCACGAUUGACUUCACAGUAAUGUCGGUUGAUCGAUCGUAUCAGUUGUCGGCAUCAGCAGCAGAUGCUCUUUUUCCCGUUAGAAUAUAUAAGAGUGAGGGAGUGUGAGAGAGAGUGAUUGUGUGAAGAUGGUGACGGCGGCGGCUGCAAAGGUUGUUCUAGGCUCGAUUGCGUUCGGAAUAUUCUGGAUUUUGGCAGUGUUUCCGGCGGUGCCAUUCCUCCCCAUUGGCCGGACUGCCGGCUCCCUCCUCGGCGCUAUGCUCAUGGUGAUCUUCCGCGUCAUCCCGCCGGAGGAAGCCUACGACGCCAUCGACCUCCCCAUUAUCGGCCUCCUCUUCGGUACCAUGGUCGUGAGCGUCUUCUUGGAGCAGGCCGACAUGUUCAAGCACCUCGGCAAGCUGCUCUCCUGGAAGAGCCGCGGCGGCAGGGACCUGCUCCUCCGCGUCUGCCUAGUCUCAUCCGUUUCCAGCUCCCUCUUCACUAACGACACCAGCUGCGUCGUGCUCACCGAGUUCAUCCUUAAGCUCGCCCGUCAGAACAACCUCCCGCCCCAGCCCUUUCUCCUCGCACUCGCCUCCAGCUCCAACAUCGGGUCCGCGGCGACCCCCAUCGGCAACCCCCAAAACCUCGUUAUCGCCGUGCAGAGCGGCAUCCCCUUCGGUAAGUUCCUCGUCGGACUCUUCCCCGCCGUCCUCGUCGGAAGCCUCCUCAACGCCGCCAUCCUCCUCUUCUAUUUCUGGAAAAUUCUGUCGGUGGAGAAGGACGAGGAAGUGGCCUCCACCGUCGGAGAAAUGGUGGCGGAGGACGACAUGAUCCUGCACCGCUUCUCCCCCGCCACCAUGUCGCACCUCCCCUCUUUGCAUUCCCAGCCAUUUGGGUCCACCCUCCCCUCCUUGUCCGGAAAAUUCGGCUCCGUCAGCAGCGUUCGUGGCAGGGCUAAAAGCGUCGACGUUGAUGUGCAGACCCCAUCAAGCUCGGGAAUUGAGUCCUUACGGACCUCGAACGUGUCGAAGGAGACGGCAGAACUCGCCGGGACCUCGCAGAGAGAGAAGGGCGUGGCGUCGAAGAGGGUUCCCAAGACUUACAGCUACCAAAGCCGCAGCCUCAGAGGAGAGUCCUCUGUGCUUUCUCUCGACUCCGAGGAAAACGUCGUGGAGAGAUGGAAGAGCAUGCUGUGGAAGGCUUGCGUUUACCUUGUAGCUCUCGGGAUGCUCGUCUCCCUUUUAAUGGGCCUAAACAUGUCAUGGGCGGCUAUUGCGGCUGCCCUUGCUCUGGUGGUGCUCGAUUUCAAAGAUGCGUGCCCUUGCCUUGAGAAGGUUUCAUACUCCUUGUUGAUAUUCUUUUGCGGGAUGUUUAUCACUAUGGAUGGAUUUAACAAAACCGGCAUACCGUGUGCUUUGUGGGACUUUGUUGAACCUUAUUCUUGCAUUGAUAGAGCUAGUGGAAUUGCACUUCUUGCCCUGGUCAUUCUUUUGCUUUCAAACGUUGCUUCCAAUGUCCCUACAGUUCUCCUGCUGGGUGGAAGAAUCGCUGCGUCUGCUGCACUCAUUUCUCCUGAAGAAGAGACGCGUGCAUGGCUCAUGCUUGCAUGGGUCAGUACAGUGGCAGGAAACCUCUCUCUUCUCGGAUCCGCAGCCAAUCUCAUAGUCUGCGAGCAAGCUCGCCGAGUUCAAUACUUUGCUUACAACCUCUCCUUCUUUAGUCAUCUGCGAUUCGGCCUUCCUUCGACACUCGUGGUUACUGGGAUUGGGUUACUGCUGGUGAGGAGUUAUUGAUCAGCUCGAAUACGCGUCGAAGAUCAUGACAAAGUAAUUAAUUAGAUUCUUCUUUGUCGAUGCCACAUUCAAGAAAUUCCAUAUCCUGUGCUGUAGCGAGAGCUUCAUUGUUGAAUAAAAGUGAACAUCAUCGCUGAGAACUCGUCGAGGGUUGGCUGGCCCAGUAUAACAUUAUAGACGGAUGGUGCGUCCAUCACAAUGAAAUUUGUCGUCCUCGUCCUCUUUAGCGACUCUUCUCCGAGCGAAAUGGCUAACCAUGCUUGGUCGAUCGACAACACUUCGUUGCCU